rnacentral:lncRNA from 1 species
UUGAACCUCCUCUAAGUCUGACUAUGAUUCUUAUUUUAUAUGCGAUAAGAUUUUGAGUCUUCUAUUUGUACACAUGUCAACUUGGGACUUCUUAUCUUCCAUUAUCCCUAAAUAAUGAUAAAUUCCCAGGCACCAAAGAACACAUUUGCUUACGUGUCUGAAAAUGAAACAAGAUAAAAACACUGGUAUUUUUAUGUGUGUGUGUUCAAUGUGGUAUAAAAUAUAAAACCUAUAUUUUAACGUAGUAAGAUAUUUUACUAUUCCUCUACUUUACAGAGUGUUGCAUCCACGCUACAAUUAAUGACCAUAUUCCUUGAGUCCUGGUUUUGUCUUUUACUACUUAAGGAAUGUUCAUUCCUUGAAACUGAUUUUAUCAUUAGAGCUGUUUUUGACUAUCCACCUUGUAUGUUGUUUUCCUCAGUGACUAUCUCUUAGGCUAUCAAAUUGGGGGAGCACAGUAAAACACUUAGCUCUUUCUUUAUUCAGGUGAACUUAUUUACUUAGUAAUUUUUUUUUUUUUUUACUUAGUAAAUAAGUAAAUUUACUUACUUAGCCUCUUUAGAACUUAAUGCUAUCAUAAAGAUGAGAAAUAAUUAUUAUUUAUUUUCUUAACUUCCAACAAAAGUCCAUUAUCAGUAAAAAUGGGAAGUUAUUUAUUCAGAUGGAAUCCGGGGGGUUCUCCAGAAGAAAAGCAGCUAAUGUUUUCAAAGGCUUCAGUACUUUUGUAGUUUUAGUAGGUUCUGUCCACAGUUUCCCAUUCUUGCAUUCUUUUCUUGAUGAUUAAAGAAAACUCAACUUUGUUUACAGAGUUUCUCAGCAUACAAAUUAUCCUUAAAUUAUGUAUUGAAUAAAUUUCCUCCAUAGUGAAGUAGUCAACAACUCAAACCUGUAAUAUUUUAAUGUAAAAUUACUUGUUAGGACUACUGCAAAGGACAUGAACUACCUACCACCUUUCCAUAAAGAUGUUUGGUAUUUGUUCUUAAUAACUGAAGUUUAAUUUAUAGCGGAGUUUGGUUAAAAUUAGUAUCUACUCUGUGCAUGGUUUAUUUUCUAUUUUAAAUUUGCUCUGUGUAUAGUCAAAGGCUUCUGGAUUAUACAGUCUUUAACUCCAGUAAAGCUAGGACCGUGUUUUACGUGGAUCUUGAAAUCAGACUCUUUGUGUGCACUAGGAUUUCUUGUUUUAUUUUUAAGAUUUAAAAACAAUUUUUUCAAGGUAGCAAGGUAAUGAGUUUCGUGGUAGCAUUUUGAGGAUCCAUGUCAUCGUUCAUUGUUCUUUUCCUAGCCCCGGCUCUCUCUCUCCUCUUGUUUUCUUCUUCUUUGCUUUCACAUGUAUCUAUUUCUUUCUCUUUUUCUACCUCAACUCUUCUUAGUAGCUCUUCUUCUCCCUUCUGUAUCAUAGUCUUUGUUUCAUUACCUAUACAUAGACAUGGACAUAAAUUUAAAAAAUUUAAUCUCAACAUUGUGAGCCCUUAAGUAGGUUUAUGAAAAUUUUAAUGGAUAAUUAUAAAAAUAACAAAAAAGGGAAAUGAUUCAAAAAAAAAAACAACACACACACAAACCAUCUGCUCUGCUCUACAAGUCAGUCAUUAUUCUUCUGUGACUCAGCUCUACAGCAGCACCUGACCCAGUGCUUUGCGCAUUCAGGCAUUCAGUAGCUAGUUAUAUGUGUGAAUGGAUGAUAUGUUUUCAGCAUAAGUCCAUUAACACAGCUUUGACUUUAUUUGAUCUUACAAACUGAGAGCACAGAAUUACAGGGCAUGUGAAGAAAUAGAUAAUUUAAUGAAAAUGAAGUAUGUGUUAUUAAGUUCAGCUUCCUAUAAGUUAUUAGUGGAAGUACUCCUGCCAGCUUUACUUAAAGGAGGGUUCUCUGUUAUUUAUAAUCUCCUAAGUUACAGUAAGAAAAAUUAUAUAGUUUUUAAACAGAAGCUCACCAAUUGGAGAAAUAGUAAUAAUUUUCAAAAGUUUUUCAGAAAAAAAGUUUUUUUGAGAAAGGGGUAAGAUCCACCUAUUUACAUUGUUACUGGAAGUAGUACCAGCGUUAAAGAUCUUGUUUUCUCCUCUUUUCAUCUAUGUAUGUUUUCUGUGUGUAUGUGUAUUUUUUGAGGCCACUCUUUGCACUAGACCAUCUCUUACAUUGGUGAUAUUGGCCUAUAUCCCCAAAUGACAAAAUCAAAUCUUAUUUAUUUAAGGAGUAUUUUGCUGUUUAAUAUUUAAACAACAUUUAAUAUAUUUCAUUAUUAGUAUUAUAGCUUACAGUUUGUUUCCUGUUUGCUUAUUGCUUUACUAAGUAUUUUUUAGCAGAGGCAGAACGGCAGCUUAUACAGGAAUAAAUAAUUCAUGGUGACAAAAACCUCAAAUCUUUUUAAGUUCAAGGAACUAUUAUUUUCUUUGCUGUGCAGAGUAGGAUACAAUUUAAUUAUUAAAAGAAAAGCAUAGUAUGAAUUAGUUUACACAAAAAAGUUUUCACCUAAGGAAGAUUCACUAAUAAGUAUUGAAGAGACUUUUACCUAAAUAAAAAUUUCUGUGACUCUUAACCCAAAGUGAUGAGAGUGCUCUUUUUUUUGGAAAGUGGGCAGGGAUUAUUCAUUACACUGAUGAGCUAUGCAAGAUUUUUUGACAUUUUACAGUUACUGAGCUGUUAGUCAUUUAGAACGUGGCUUUAAAUUACGUUGGAUUUUGUUUGUCUUACUGUUAUUUGUUGGCUUGAAAAUAAACCCAGAGCCACCUCCAUCCUAGGGCAAGCACUUCGGCCACUGACUUAGACUCUGAACCAUGAGUUGUGAAAUUAUUAAAGUACAGAAUCAUAGCGAAACUAGAGAAGUUUAUUUUUGAUUUUAGUCCCCUACCCCAGGGAAAGUUCUUAAAGAAUGAGUGUGAGUGAUCGUAUAUGUACACACAUACAAGUCAAAAGAAUUGCCAUUCUGUUGAGUUCAAAUUCAUGUAGAAUGUUGAGAAAAAAAAUGAGAUAAAAUCUAUAGAAAUUUGUUUUUAACUGAAAAGCUGGUGGUGGUUUUCAAAUGAAUGAAAUUUACAUUAUUCCCCUUGAAAUUACUGAACUGUGUUCAUUACCCACUUGUGUUUUAUUUUCACAUGGCGAUUCUCUUCAAUUUUAUAGUAAAAUGGAGAAUUGACUAACCUUGACUUAGAGAAUUGGAUUAGGGAUUUAAAUUAGGUCCUACAUUUUCUGGUGUAUUCAUGCCAUGUUUUGAAGUGUGUGUUGGCCCUAACAUAGGUUCUGCACUAACAUGUUGGCAGAAAAACUAAAGAAAAAUUGAAGAUGUACAACAGUUGUAUAGAUAAUUCUUUUUAAUAAGUACACAGUAGGUUAAUUAUGAUUUCAGGUCAUUGAUGUUUUAGGGAUUGUGUGUUAGGAACUGUUCAUAAGAGUAUCUUGGAAGUUACAAAUUGCCAUAUACUGAAAUACAGUAAGCAUUCUAUAUGAAUAAAGUUUGUGGACUACAACUAGUUUUGUGCCAAAAUUAAAAAGAUGGGAUUAUAUGUCAAAAUUAAGGAAACUUUCCAAGUAUUUUGUAUUCUGUUAAAUUUUGUUUCUAUUUUAAAUGUAAGUAAAGCUACUUAGCCUCC